UGUGCUCAGUUGCGGAUGUGUUCAGUUGACUGUGUCCAGUUGCACCCAUCCCACACAAAUUUAUUGUGAACACUGGACAAAAUAUCUAGAACCGCAACUGUAAAAUAUGUUAACAUAUAGACUAAAACUCAAUCCAUAGUGUAAAUAAAUCAUGUAGAUUUGAGCACUUUAAACAAUAAAAAAACAAAAAAAAAUCGCCACGCAACAGCCACGCAAAUACCGUGGCUGUAGCGUGGCUCCUGGAUUCUCAGGGCCCAUAUCACUUGAAUGCAUUGGAUUCUAUUGAUAUAAUCUGGAAACGAUUUCUGGAUCAUGAACCAGGUGGUUGUAGGAGUUUCAAGUGCAAUAAUCCAAACUGCUCCCUAGUACCCACACCAAUUCCUCUAAUUCAUGUUAAUGAGCAAAUUCUACGCAGUGGUGGCUAUAAAGACUUACAAAGAGCGCUCCAAUACUAUCCAAUUAUUUAUAACAAAAAAUGUCUGCCGACAUGUGGAGGGGAAGGUGAAGAACAUACACUGUUGAGGGGUCACAUUUGCGUAAGUUUAGAUGUGCGUGAACGUUCAGACAGACGUUAAACUAUGGAAGGUUGUUUAAAUGAGUUUCCUCAUUAUCUUCACUUAGAGAGGACGUACAGAUUGGUGGGAAUCAUUCAUCAUCAGCCAGGAAUAUCACCUGGGGUCAUUGAGACUGGACCUCUAGAGAAUUCAGAAGUGGGUCACUUCUCAGCCUAUAUCCUUCGUACUUCUGGAUCAUCGAUCCAUUGUGAUGAUAUGCAGGAGUCGAUAAAUUACAAAUGUAAAUCAGAUCAAUCUGUGAAGCCACAUGCAGCAAUUUACAUCAUUUGUGGGACAGACCUCAACAGUUGAAGACGCUUUGUAUUUUAAUCAUUAAUAAGACUCCAUAACACUUUUUCUACGUUUUCUCAAGUGUGGUGCCAUGUGCAAUCUUUAUCUAGGAAUCGCUGUUUCAUUCGUCGGGGCGUAUGUAUCCGAAUUCAAAUGUUCUGAAAGUAGUAUGUAAGUGCAUUAUUAAAUAUUCAAGUUGUUGGCCCCUAUCUAAAGUGAGAUCUUAUCACAACUUUUUAUACAUUUGCGUAGCAUUUUUUAUUGAAAAGAAGGCCCCAACUAAUGAUUUUCAUUAUAUUUUCAAUUCCAAAAAUCGAUAUAAUUUCAUGAAAAAUCCUAAUGAAAGUAUGAAUUGAAUAUCAAACUAGUGAAAGAUAAAUAUUCUCAGUAUUGAAUAUGAAACCUGUGAUGUAAAUAAUAUCUAGGAUUAUUAUUUCUCCAUUGUCAUGUUUUGUUUUUGUUUUUCAAGUCAAGAAGAAUGAGUACUUGAUGAGUUGGUUUAUAACUACCACGAUUGGUGUUUUUUGUUACUGACCAAAGUAGCUAAUGAAAGUUCAAAGGUGAACCUUUUGUUGAAAAGGGAUCGAGUUUCGAAUAUCAAGUUUUCGUCCGUUUAUGAAAACGAGGUUUGAUACUACCUAGUUAUGUAACUUUUUGCGACUGAUGUGUUGAUGUCAUUUGAGAUAUAAUGUUAGAAAAAAAUUCAAUGAAGAAAGAAGAUAUAAAGGGUUUUUCUAUGAUAAAAAAUUUUUGUUACUACAUAUCAGAGUUUGUAUGCCAUGUAUAUAUUUGUCAUACAGUAAAUAAGAACAAAGUAUAAUCAAGUUUAUUGUAGCGACAUAAAUUAUUUCUCCUCUCAAGUGACGUUAUUCAAACUAAAAUUAAGUCAUUUAUCAAGGAGAAGAAUGGGUUUAAAAACAAUGAAUAUACAAUGGUAAAUUGACAGAAACAUAAAAUAACAUCGAGUAUUGUGCCUUCAGAUACAGAAGACAUUGACGAUUGAUGAAUUUUUGGAUUUUAACAAAUUUUAUUUUAUACAAAAUGUUUAACUGUGACGUUCGAACUUAUGAUUCAUUGUGUACUCCUCAGAGAAGAUUUUUGCUGUUAAAGUUUGCGUGGAAGGAGCAAUAUCGACGAGUUGAAAAAUUAAUUUGUAGAAAUGACGGGUUCUGUAACGAAAAACACAAAUUUUUAAUGAAUUUUGGUUAUUAAACAAUCAUUCCUAGGAGAAUGAAUCUCUUA